UGGCUAAAUAACUAUAUUAGAAACAUUUUUUAUUUUGCACAGCCUAUCUAUUUACCCAGUUUUUAUUUUCACACUGAACUAUUCCUUUAAAGUCAACCUGUGCAGUGCAAUUCCAUCUCAGUCUUAAAAAUUCCCCUCUAGGUAAGGCCUUUUUUACAUGUUUGGAUGGAAACUGGAAUGACUGAAUAGGGAGUUAGUAGCUGUUUCUUUUCUUUUUCAUCUCCCCUGUUUAUGUUCAGAUCUAUGUUUAGAUCUAGAAAGGAGACUUCAUUUUCUGAGUUCUGAGAUGUUAAUUUGAUUUUCCAAUCAUUGGUAUUCUGCACAUGUCCCUUGCCAAAUGAUUAGGAUAUCGUUGAUAUAUCUGAGCCAUUUUCUGAUAUGUUUGUGAUAUUUUAUAAAUGUAUCACCAAAAACCACAGUUUCAUCCCAUUUGCCUAAGAAUAAGUUGGCAUAAGCUGGGCGCAGGCAGUGCCCAUUGUAGUUCCUUGAGUCUGGAGAAAGAGUUGGCCAUUUAAGGUAAAGUAAUUGUAAUACAGGACAAAUCUUAAUAGUUUACAUAUAAAUUCUAUUUGAUCAUCUGAUUUGUCACUUGUUUUAAUAUUGCACAGACUCAAUGCCUAGUUCAUGUCCUAUGGAUGUAUAUAAGGAUUCAACAUCAAGUGUAAUUAAUAAGUUGUUAGAUUGUAUAAGUUCCAUAUUUUUGAUUUGAACCAGGACAUCCAUUGUAUCUCUAGCAUAGGACAUGAGGAACUCAACCAUUGUUUUAAAGACUAGAUAUAAAUAUUGGCUGACUUUUUCAGAUAGACUACUGUUCCCGGAUACUAUGGGUCUCCCUGGCGGUUUUUAAAUUUUUUUUUGUUUUGGGCAAAAUUAAAAUGUUGCAACUCUGGGGUGCUCAACUUUCAGAAAUUGAUAUUCCUUUUUACUUAUUAACAAAUUCUUCUGUGCUUCUUUUAGUAUUCUAUACUAAAUUUCAAUGAAAUUCUCCUAAUAUUUUUUUUAUGACAUUCUGACUUUAGUUGUCUGUCAGCCUCUUCUAGAUACAUGUUGUUGGCCAGAUUACUAUGUUACCCCCAUUAUCGGACUGUUUGAUUUGUUCAUCAUACCACCUUCUGGUCUCUUGGAUUGCUCUUAAUUCAUCCUGGCUCAAGGACAUCGAAUGGAGCGACCCACAUACUGUUUUGUACAACAGUUGCAUUCCAGUAAAUAAACUAUCCGUUUGGAGUUGCAAUUGUAAAAACCUUUGCUUUGAUACGUCCAACCUGUGACAUUUGAACUGAAGCCGCUACUCCUAUCGAUCACAUUACAGGUUUUGCAUUUCGUGUGCUCUCACCUAAAAGUGCCCUUCAAAGCCAAUCACCGCUUUUGUUUGGGCGUGGAGGAGGAGACUAUACUGGGUGCCAAUAUAUUUCUCAGAGUGGGGGCCUUCUUGGAAACAAAUUUAAUGUUUGUAGAAGAUAAUAUCUCUUGUAGUGUCUCAUUACCCUCUAAAAUCGGAAGAUAUAUUUUAACUAUUUUGCAAAUUCGAUUGUAUAUUUCACUGUAUUCAGUUAUAAAAUAAAUUCUUUAAUUUAGA